rnacentral:rRNA from 1 species
CCUACGGGUGGCAGCAGUAGGGAAUCUUCCACAAUGGGCGAAAGCCUGAUGGAGCAACGCCGCGUGGGUGAAGAAGGUCUUCGGAUCGUAAAACCCUGUUGUUAGAGAAGAAAGUGCGUGAGAGUAACUGUUCACGUUUCGACGGUAUCUAACCAGAAAGCCACGGCUAACUACGUGCCAGCAGCCGCGGUAAUACGGAGGGUGCAAGCGUUGUCCGGAAUCAUUGGGCGUAAAGAGUUCGUAGGUGGCAUAUUAAGUCUGGUGUUAAAUGCAGAAGCUCAACUUCUGUUCGGCACUGGAUACUGGUAAGCUUGAAUGCGGUAGAGGUAAAGGGAAUUCCUGGUGUAGCGGUGAAAUGCGUAGAUAUCAGGAGGAACAUCGGUGGCGUAAGCGCUUUACUGGGCCGUAAUUGACACUGAGGAACGAAAGCCGGGGUAGCAAAUGGGAUUAGAUACCCCAGUAGUC